rnacentral:rRNA from 1 species
UAAGUUAUUAAGGGCGCACGGUGGAUGCCUUGGCACUAGAAGCCGAUGAAGGACGUUACUAACGACGAUAUGCUUUGGGGAGCUGUAAGUAAGCUUUGAUCCAGAGAUUUCCGAAUGGGGAAACCCAGCAUGAGUUAUGUCAUGUUAUCGAUAUGUGAAUACAUAGCAUAUCAGAAGGCACACCCGGAGAACUGAAACAUCUUAGUACCCGGAGGAAGAGAAAGAAAAUUCGAUUCCCUUAGUAGCGGCGAGCGAAACGGGAAGAGCCCAAACCAAAAAGCUUGCUUGUUGGGGUUGUAGGACACUCUAUACGGAGUUACAAAGGACGACAUUAGACGAAUCAUCUGGAAAGAUGAAUCAAAGAAGGUAAUAAUCCUGUAGUCGAAAAUGUUGUCUCUCUUGAGUGGAUCCUGAGUACGACGGAGCACGUGAAAUUCCGUCGGAAUCUGGGAGGACCAUCUCCUAAGGCUAAAUACUCUCUAGUGACCGAUAGUGAACCAGUACCGUGAGGGAAAGGUGAAAAGCACCCCGGAAGGGGAGUGAAAUAGAACCUGAAACCGUGUGCUUACAAGUAGUCAGAGCCCGUUAAUGGGUGAUGGCGUGCCUUUUGUAGAAUGAACCGGCGAGUUACGAUUUGAUGCAAGGUUAAGCAGUAAAUGUGGAGCCGUAGCGAAAGCGAGUCUGAAUAGGGCGUUUAGUAUUUGGUCGUAGACCCGAAACCAGGUGAUCUACCCUUGGUCAGGUUGAAGUUCAGGUAACACUGAAUGGAGGACCGAACCGACUUACGUUGAAAAGUGAGCGGAUGAACUGAGGGUAGCGGAGAAAUUCCAAUCGAACCUGGAGAUAGCUGGUUCUCUCCGAAAUAGCUUUAGGGCUAGCCUCAAGUGAUGAUUAUUGGAGGUAGAGCACUGUUUGGACGAGGGGCCCUCUCGGGUUACCGAAUUCAGACAAACUCCGAAUGCCAAUUAAUUUAACUUGGGAGUCAGAACAUGGGUGAUAAGGUCCGUGUUCGAAAGGGAAACAGCCCAGACCACCAGCUAAGGUCCCAAAUAUAUGUUAAGUGGAAAAGGAUGUGGCGUUGCCCAGACAACUAGGAUGUUGGCUUAGAAGCAGCCAUCAUUUAAAGAGUGCGUAAUAGCUCACUAGUCGAGUGACACUGCGCCGAAAAUGUACCGGGGCUAAACAUAUUACCGAAGCUGUGGAUUGUCCUUUGGACAAUGGUAGGAGAGCGUUCUAAGGGCGUUGAAGCAUGAUCGUAAGGACAUGUGGAGCGCUUAGAAGUGAGAAUGCCGGUGUGAGUAGCGAAAGACGGGUGAGAAUCCCGUCCACCGAUUGACUAAGGUUUCCAGAGGAAGGCUCGUCCGCUCUGGGUUAGUCGGGUCCUAAGCUGAGGCCGACAGGCGUAGGCGAUGGAUAACAGGUUGAUAUUCCUGUACCACCUAUAAUCGUUUUAAUCGAUGGGGGACGCAGUAGGAUAGGCGAAGCGUGCGAUUGGAUUGCACGUCUAAGCAGUAAGGCUGAGUAUUAGGCAAAUCCGGUACUCGUUAAGGCUGAGCUGUGAUGGGGAGAAGACAUUGAGUCUUCGAGUCGUUGAUUUCACACUGCCGAGAAAAGCCUCUAGAUAGAAAAUAGGUGCCCGUACCGCAAACCGACACAGGUAGUCAAGAUGAGAAUUCUAAGGUGAGCGAGCGAACUCUCGUUAAGGAACUCGGCAAAAUGACCCCGUAACUUCGGGAGAAGGGGUGCUCUUUAGGGUUAACGCCCAGAAGAGCCGCAGUGAAUAGGCCCAAGCGACUGUUUAUCAAAACACAGGUCUCUGCUAAACCGUAAGGUGAUGUAUAGGGGCUGACGCCUGCCCGGUGCUGGAAGGUUAAGAGGAGUGGUUAGCUUCUGCGAAGCUACGAAUCGAAGCCCCAGUAAACGGCGGCCGUAACUAUAACGGUCCUAAGGUAGCGAAAUUCCUUGUCGGGUAAGUUCCGACCCGCACGAAAGGCGUAACGAUUUGGGCACUGUCUCAACGAGAGACUCGGUGAAAUCAUAGUACCUGUGAAGAUGCAGGUUACCCGCGACAGGACGGAAAGACCCGUGGAGCUUUACUGUAGCCUGAUAUUGAAAUUCGGCACAGCUUGUACAGGAUAGGUAGGAGCCUUUGAAACGUGAGCGCUAGCUUACGUGGAGGCGCUGGUGGGAUACUACCCUAGCUGUGUUGGCUUUCUAACCCGCACCACUUAUCGUGGUGGGAGACAGUGUCAGGCGGGCAGUUUGACUGGGGCGGUCGCCUCCUAAAAGGUAACGGAGGCGCUCAAAGGUUCCCUCAGAAUGGUUGGAAAUCAUUCAUAGAGUGUAAAGGCAUAAGGGAGCUUGACUGCGAGACCUACAAGUCGAGCAGGGUCGAAAGACGGACUUAGUGAUCCGGUGGUUCCGCAUGGAAGGGCCAUCGCUCAACGGAUAAAAGCUACCCCGGGGAUAACAGGCUUAUCUCCCCCAAGAGUUCACAUCGACGGGGAGGUUUGGCACCUCGAUGUCGGCUCAUCGCAUCCUGGGCUGUAGUCGGUCCCAAGGGUUGGGCUGUUCGCCCAUUAAAGCGGUACGCGAGCUGGGUUCAGAACGUCGUGAGACAGUUCGGUCCCUAUCCGUCGUGGGCGUAGGAAAUUUGAGAGGAGCUGUCCUUAGUACGAGAGGACCGGGAUGGACAUACCUCUGGUGUACCAGUUGUCGUGCCAACGGCAUAGCUGGGUAGCUAUGUGUGGACGGGAUAAGUGCUGAAAGCAUCUAAGCAUGAAGCCCCCCUCAAGAUGAGAUUUCCCAACUUCGGUUAUAAGAUCCCUCAAAGAUGAUGAGGUUAAUAGGUUCGAGGUGGAAGCAUGGUGACAUGUGGAGCUGACGAAUACUAAUCGAUCGAAGACUUAAUCA